CCCUUAGAUGUCCUGGGCCGCACGCGCGCUACACUGACAUGUUCAACAAGCCUCCUAGUUCGACAGGAUUUGGGAAAUCUUUGAACGCAUGUCGUGAUAGGGAUAGAUCGUUGCAAUUAUUGAUCUUGAACGAGGAAUUCCUAGUAAACGCGAGUCAUCAGCUCGCAUUGAUUACGUCCCUGCCCUUUGUACACACCGCCCGUCGCACCUACCGAUUGAAUGUUUCGGUGAAGAUUCCGGAUAGGACUUUUUUGAUUUAUUUCAAUUUUGUCUUAAAAGCUAUCUAAACCUCAACAUUUAGAGGAAGGUGAAGUCGUAACA
rnacentral:rRNA from 1 species